rnacentral:rRNA from 1 species
GACGAAGGGGGCUAGCGUUGUUCGGAAUUACUGGGCGUAAAGCGCGUGUAGGCGGUUGCCCAAGUCGGGUGUGAAAGCCUUGAGCUCAACUCAAGAAAUGCACUCGGUACUGGGUGACUAGAGGACCGGAGAGGAUAGUGGAAUUCCCAGUGUAGUGGUGAAAUACGUAGAGAUUGGGAAGAACACCAGUGGCGAAGGGCGGCUAUCUGGACGGUUUCUGACACUAAGACUCGAAAGCGUGGGGAGCAAACAGG